UUGCCAGUUCCUGGAAAUCCAGGCCCUUUCCCUCCUUCCCUCCCCACUCAGGACAAGCUCAGCUGUGGUGGUGCCAGCAGUCAGGAGCUGUGUGUGGGUGGGCCCCUGUUUGUCCAGGGGCCCACCUGCACAAUUUCUCAUGGAGAUGCUUCCCUGGCACUGAGAACUUGCACAGAUGAUCUGAUUUACAGAUGGUUACAAGAAGUAAAGAAAUACUGGCAACACGCUGAAAGCAAACAAGAAAGCUCCAGUUUGUUGACAACUUCCAAGAAAGGAAGAAGAAAACUGAAAACUACCAAGACAGUAAAUAAAACAGUGUUAAGCUGGGUAAGCAGGGGAAAUUAAAAUAAUUUUAAUUCAAA